rnacentral:pre_miRNA from 1 species
AGUGGGAUAGCUGAGUCAAAUGAGUUUCAUUCCAAGCUUUCUGAGUAAUCUCCAUAUUGCUUUCCAGAGUGGUGACACCAAUUUUCAAUCCCACUAGCAAU